rnacentral:lncRNA from 1 species
AGUAAGUUUUUGAAAAAGAAUAUAAAGAUCUUUCAAAUUCAAAUGAAGGCCUUUUACCCAUAAUUGGGGAAAACAUAUCUGAUUUUUAGAAAUAUGAUUAUAUAACUUAGAGUGAUAAAAUAAGUAAACACAAUGUAAAAAUGUAAAUACAUUUAAGAUAGAAGUGAACAUUAUAAUAUAAUAUUUUCAUUUCUUUUGUUAUAUCUCACUAGAGUAGGGACAACAACAAAUAACAACUGAGGACACACAUAAAAAGAAACUGGGAAAAAACAGCACCACAUGAUAUUGGAAAAUUGUGACAAAUAAUGGUAUGAUAAUGAAAUAUUGAAUAGAGUUCGCUAACAUAUAAAUGUAACCAAUCCUUGUUAACAAUUGGUAGUGAUGAAUGAACAACUAACAAACUCUAACUGGUGCAGAUUGUUUUUAAAGGUCGAAACAACUUACUUCAGCAACAAGUACAGGAACUCAUAUAACACUGGAAAAUAGAACUUAAGACUACGUACGUAAGGUUUCGAACUGUUUUCAUCUGAUCGUCACUGGUUAGUCUUGUGUGGACGAAACGCUCUUUUGGCGUAUUGAAUUUUAAACCUGGUGCCUUUUGUUAGCUGUUAUUCGUGUGUUUCUCUGUCCUAUAUAUUCUCCUAUUUAUUUGUAUUGUAGUUCUGUAAUGUUAUUAUGUCAUUUGAUGUUAUAUUUAACAUUGCCAUAAAAGCGGGAGUUUUGGCAUGUCACCAAACCUGGUUCAACCCACCAUGUUUAUCUUUAAAAAAAAAUGUCCUGUACCAAGUCAGCAAAAUGGCCACUGUUAUAUUAUAGUUCGUUUCUAUGUAUGUUACAUUUUAAUGUUGUGUUUCUGUUGUGUCGUUUGUAUCCUCUUAUAUUUGAGUGUAAAUUCGCAUUGCUAUAAGACGUGUCACGGUAAUUUUCUAUCCUUAAUUAUGUAUUUAGUUUUGAUGUUAUAUUUGUUAUUCUCAUCGGAUUUUGUCUAAUGCUUAAUUCGUUUCUGUGUGUGUUACAUUUUAAUGUUGUGAUUCUGUUGUGUCGUUGUUCUCCUCUUAUAUUUGAUGCGUUUCCCUAAGUUUUAGUUUGUAACCCGGAUUUGUUUUUUUCUAUCGAUUUAUGAGUUUCGAACAGCGGUAUACUACUGUUGCCAUUAUAUAUAACACAAAGUUUCUUUAUUUUUAUUUAUACACCUAUAUUGAGUUAUGUUCUUUAAGAAUGAAAUAUCAUUUUUUUGAAGAAGCAACACGUACGUUACCAUGUUUCUAUGAAAAGUGCCUCAAAGAAUAAACUUAUGAUCUGAAUCAGGUCAAUUUUUAGCCCGAUUAUGAUUCAAACUUUAAUUUUCUCAACACAUCAUUUGAUAGCAAUCUUGUGUUGUUGUUAAAUGGUUUUUUUCAUUAAAUUUUACAUCGUAAAUAUUCCUUAAAGGUUUUGGACAGAAACAUUAACUCCUGUACCCUAUUAACUAUAUUGAAAUACCAGUUAUUGAACACAUAUUCAACGCACAAUUAUAUAAGAUAAAAUUAUGUAAUGUACUAUCCUCAUUCUCAAUUUUUUAAGAACGUUUUCAUUACCAAGCAAAACAUAGUUCAUUUUAAACAUUGUGAAGAAAUUAUAUUUCUUCGCAGAGCACAUGUCUUAAAACCAGAGAAAAAUAUAAUAAUCAAAAAAAUAUAUGAUAAUCAAAGGUACCAGGAUUAUAAUUUAGGACGCCAGACGCGCGUUUCGUCUACAUAAGUCUCAACAGUGACGCUCACAUCAAAAUAUCUAUACCCCCAUUUUUGGAAAGUUAAUAUGAUAAAUUACUUUCAAAUAAAUUGAUUUUUUAUCAAUCGAAAGAAUUGUUGUACUUCUUAGCGUCACGCAAAUACAGAAAAAAAAUAAACUGUAAAUCAAUCACUAACGUUUACAUGUUCAUAUCUAGAUAAAUAGGUUUUAUUUCAUCAUAUAAUUUAGCCGUUUGGCAUUGUUAUACCUGAUCGCAUUGGCAAAGACUAUCCCUCUUUACUGUGAUAGAUAAGCGGGAUGCAAAUUCCUGAAAAUCGGUCAGUCUUUUAUUUGAGCAACCCUGACAGCCAUAUACGCCCACAAAAUCUUCAAAUAUGCAGCAUCUAAAACAUCAUAACUCAAUAAGUAAGACAAGAGAACACAAAGGCUAAUAUAACAAAAACGGACAGUUCAGAAAACACCACAUAGCGAACUAGAUUGAGCGACGCGUGACAAACACACAAUCAUACAAGAACAUGUGUGAUGAUGCUGAUUAAUGCAUUUUUUUCACAAAUUGAUUGUAAAUAAAAAAAGGUGGUGAUAAGUUGUAUUCGGUUUUACGAAUCGUGUAAUAAGUGUCUACACUUAGUUGUUAAACGCAAUGCUAUCUUAAUAUGAAAUACCGUUGCAAUGUAUUGUACUAACAUAUUGAUAUGAUUGAUAAUGUAUGCGGAAAUAGGUCAUGAAUAUACAUGUAUUUUAUAUACAAUUUUACUUACUGGUACCUAACAUUCUUAAUUUGUCGCAUUCGUAAUGUGUGGAGGACUAUUGUUAAUGACAAGACAACAAGACUGUUCAAGUGUUUAUUAUAUAUAUGUAUCAAUUUUUUAUUGCAGGUCUUAUGGAUUUCCAGAACACUUGGAAAAUUGUUAAGUUACACAUAUACUAUAUCAAAGUAUAUUAAGUAAAAACGAACUAUAGUAAAAUAUAAACAUUGUACCAUUCACGAUGGAUUAGAAACAGUAUAUGAAAGGAAUAAUGAAGCAAACGCGUAAAUGUAUCCAACGAUAACGUCUUUAACUAUGAUGAAAAACCGAUAACAUGAGGAAGUCUGAACCUUACAAACAGGUAUCUAUACUGCAAUAUUCUAUGAGAGAAAUGCAGUUUCAAUAUUGGAAGAAAAACGCAUAAUUGGUAUUGCUAUGAACCACAUUUCAAACCAUUAUUUUCAAUAUUUAUUUGCUGAUAUCAACUUUUUAACAUUAGACAUUCAUCAAAUAUGUAUGUAUUACGAACAUUUUUCGAAAUAUUUAUGCUGGAAAC